CCCUUAGACACUCUAGGCGGCACGCGCGCUACAAUGGGUGGAAGAACGUGUUACUGCCUCCGAAAGGAGGGGUGAAUCACGAAUUCUUGCCCGUGAAUGGGAUAGUUUGUUGCAAUUUUCGGACUUGAACUAGGAAUCCCUUGUAAACAUGCUCAAGAAUAGCGUGUUGAAUACGUCCCUGCCGUUUGUACACACCGCCCGUCGUUUCUUCCGACUGAUACUCAUUGUGAGUUGCAAGGACCCUUUAUUGGGAAAUUGCUGCGAAUGCUUUGUAUUGGAGGAAGAAAAAGUCGUAACA
rnacentral:rRNA from 1 species